rnacentral:rRNA from 1 species
UACGUAGGGGGCAAGCGUUAUCCGGAUUUACUGGGUGUAAAGGGAGCGUAGACGGCAGCGCAAGUCUGGAGUGAAAUGCCGGGGCCCAACCCCGGAACUGCUUUGGAAACUGUGCGGCUCGAGUGCAGGAGAGGUAAGCGGAAUUCCUAGUGUAGCGGUGAAAUGCGUAGAUAUUAGGAGGAACACCAGUGGCGAAGGCGGCUUACUGGACUGUAACUGACGUUGAGGCUCGAAAGCGUGGGGAGCAAACAGG